CGUGGGCGUUGGAAAUUUGAGAGGAGCUGUCCUUAGUACGAGAGGACCGGGAUGGACACACCGCUGGUGUACCAGUUGUUCCGCCAGGAGCAUAGCUGGGUAGCUACGUGUGGAAGGGAUAAGUGCUGAAAGCAUCUAAGCAUGAAGCCCCCCUUUAGAUGAGAUUUCCCAUCAUUUGAAAUGAGUAAGAUUCCUCAAAGACGAUGAGGUAGAUAGGUCCGAGGUGGAAGCGUGGUGACACGUGCAGCUGACGGAUACUAAUCAAUCGAGGACUUAACUUA
rnacentral:rRNA from 1 species